UACGUAGGGGGCAAGCGUUAUCCGGAAUUACUGGGUGUAAAGGGUGAGUAGGCGGCAUGGUAAGCCAGAUGUGAAAGCCUUGGGCUUAACCCGAGGAUUGCAUUUGGAACUAUCAAGCUAGAGUACAGGAGAGGAAAGCGGAAUUCCUAGUGUAGCGGUGAAAUGCGUAGAUAUUAGGAAGAACACCAGUGGCGAAGGCGGCUUUCUGGACAGUAACUGACGGUGAGGCGCGAAAGCGUGGGGAGCAAACAGG
rnacentral:rRNA from 1 species